rnacentral:rRNA from 1 species
AACGAACGCUGGCGGCAUGCUUUACACAUGCAAGUCGAACGGUAACAGGUUAAGCUGACGAGUGGCGAACGGGUGAGUAAUGCAUCGGAACGUGCCCGGUCGUGGGGGAUAACGCAGCGAAAGCUGCGCUAAUACCGCAUACGAUCUGAGGAUGAAAGCGGGGGACCGUAAGGCCUCGCGCGAUCGGAGCGGCCGAUGUCAGAUUAGGUAGUUGGUGGGGUAAAGGCCUACCAAGCCGACGAUCUGUAGCUGGUCUGAGAGGACGACCAGCCACACUGGGACUGAGACACGGCCCAGACUCCUACGGGAGGCAGCAGUGGGGAAUUUUGGACAAUGGGCGCAAGCCUGAUCCAGCAAUGCCGCGUGCAGGAAGAAGGCCUUCGGGUUGUAAACUGCUUUUGUACGGAGCGAAAAGGCUCUCUCUAAUACAGGGGGUUCAUGACGGUACCGUAAGAAUAAGCACCGGCUAACUACGUGCCAGCCGCCGCGGUAAAAC